rnacentral:tRNA from 1 species
GAAGGUAUAGCUUAGUGGUAGAGUGCAUGCUUAGCAUGUACAAGGUCCUUGGUUCAAUCCCCAGUACUUCCA